rnacentral:rRNA from 1 species
CCUGGCGGCUUUAGCGCGGUGGUCCCACCUGACCCCAUGCCGAACUCAGAAGUGAAACGCCGUAGCGCCGAUGGUAGUGUGGGGUCUCCCCAUGCGAGAGUAGGGAACUGCCAGGA